ensembl:lncRNA
GUCGCUCAGUCAUGUCCGACUCUUAGCAAUCUCAUGGACUGCAACCCACUAGGCUCCCCCGUCUAUGGGAUUUUCCAGGCAAAAGUACUGGAGUGGGGUGCCUUUGCCUUCUCCCAAGAUAGGCUACUUACAUUUAAAUCUUUGUUUUCAGAGUAUGUUUCUAAGGGAACUCAAAGUAAUAUGGAAGUAGUCUUAAAGGUUUGCAUCCAAUUUCCAAUUCCAAUUUCCAUUUCAAAGGUACCAUCUGAAUGACACAAGUAAAUGAGUGUGAUCUCAUGAGCAUGAUCCCUGUCGUCAUCAACUGAUUUAGGGGUGAGCAGUAACUAAGACCUACGUACUAGAAUAUGGUUUGGUGGCUUGUCUAGGCAUUGCACAUCCAACAGAGUGGGGAUUUGACUUUUCCAUUCCCAUGCCUACAGUUCCUAGCAAAACUAUGAGCUCAGUAGCAGGUCUUCUGUCAAUGUUGGGGUCUAAUUCAUGUGAAGGUGUAAUGACUUAUAGAUUCAUGUUACCACCCAUCCCAGGAAGAAUUACACCUUAAAUGGGGCAGGAAGAAUUUAACUAUGAAGAACGUCUCCAUCCUUAUGCAUGAGGACCGUGGGGCUGGUGAGUAGGAGAACUGAUUUGGAAUUGAGAAACCUAUUCUGGCACUUAGCAUCAUAGACUAAUUUUGUUUAUUUAUGUAGUUUAUAUAUUGGAAUCAUUCAGGGAGUGUUCCUAUUUCUAACUUGUUCAAUGUGAUGUUUGAGAGUAUUCCUAUUGUGGUGGGUAGUAAUGAUUCACUCAUUCCCUUGCUGCAUGGUAUCCCAUCACAUGGAUAUGUAUGGAUAUGCACAGUAUAUCUAUCCACCCUACGGUUGAUGAUCAUUUGUGCCCUUUCCAGUUUGGAGCUGUUAUGAAUAUAGCAUAACAUUCAAGUCCGUCCAUGAACAUUCUAGUACAUGUCUUUUCAUGCUUCCAAGUAUGCAGUUCUCUUAACUACCCAGGAGUGAAAUUGCUCUGUCAGAGGUUGUGCUCAUGCUCUGCUUUCACUGACAGACCUCAUAGUUUUCCAAACUUGUAUUGUGCUUUGAGGUUUUAAAAAGUUUGAAUGAGUUUUGAACAUUUAAACAUCAGAUUUCCUAUUAGAAGAUCUGGCAAACCGAAGGUCCCAUUGGCAAAUGACAUCAAGCUGGCUGGAGCUAGUUGCAGCUGGGACUCACCCAGUACCCCCUUAUUGACAAUACGUUUUUGAUGUCUGUUUCUGGUUUUCUGUUUCAUUUGUGACACUGACAAUACUUUUUUGAUUACUCCCCUCACUGACAAUACUUUUUUGAUCUCUGUUUCUGGUUUUCUGUAUCAUUUGUGACACCAGCUGUGAAUAUAAGGGGCCUGCAUCUAUUCAUUUAGAGGAUUCUGGAACCUGGCAAACCUAUAUCCUUGGUUUUCCUGGAAGCAGACACUGAGAUAAGGAUGUUGCAGGCAGAAAAUGGCGUUGCUGUGUUGCAGGAAGAAUCCUGGGUGUCAUCAAGUUAUCAGCACACUGCAGCUCCCCUCUCAGGGGAACAAACCCUGUAAUUUAACAAAUCGCUGUAUUUUGGGUUCUGACACCCCACAUGCUUUUCAAUUUCCAUCUGUUCUUCUGGUUCAUUAGUAUUUUAUUGUUGCUACAGUCAAACAUUUUAAUAGUUUUUUUCUGUCUCAAAUAGCACACCAUCAACUAUCUUCUGCCAUCCCUUUGGACACCUAAAAAAUGGCAUGUCCAUUUCAAUUUUAAAUUGCUUUUAGAAAGUAUUAUUUUGGGCAUUUUCCCAGGUGUCCAAGACAGCUGCCUUUGGCUAAAAACUAGAAUAACUGCUUUGUGUAUGAAAACAAAUAUUCAAAAUCUACUUCAAACACAGAUUUUUUUAAAAAAGUAAUAAAACAAUGUUCUCUUAUUCUCCUAAACUAUUUCUUUAUUACAUCAGCACAUAGUCCAUAAACUCACUGGCACCCACAAGUGCAUAUACACACAAAUUUUACAUACACCCUUGACACUCCCAAACACAAUAUAUAUAGAUACACAUCAACACAUAUGAAUUCCAUGUAUGCUGCACUCCACACCGCAUAUGUAUACCUAGCCACACUCCAUAUGCACACAUAGUCUCCCAGCUAUAAAGCACACACAUCCCAAGCACAGAUACACAUACUUCAAUGCACACAUGUACCACCCGACACAAUCACAAACACACUGCUUACACACACACAACUCAAGUGCACACCUGUAAUCACACCCAUUCACUCUCCCCCAAACACAGCAUAUGCACGUAUUCAUGAACACACACAUGCAAUCCACGUCUACACAGACCACGUAUACACUUGAUCAACCUGCAGUAUGAAGAUGAAGGAAAAUAUUACCCCAUCAAAAACAAUAGUGAAGAAAUGUGUGAACAAAUGUAAGACAAAGCGCACAUUAAGGAACAGACAUUGGAGCAUAUAUUGGGAAAUAUUUUGGAAUUUAAGGUUAUUGCAGACAUUUUAGUGACUUUAUAGAAAGUCAGGGUUUGGGGGCCGAGUAGCAGUUUUCCUUUCUUGGUCAUGUGCUGUCCGUGCUCACCUCAGAUCCAGUUCUUCUCAAGAAAAACCAGUGACCAAGGACAAAACUUCAAAAAUGAAAUCCAGAAGGCCAGGCAUCCAGUCAGGAGCCACAGCACAGCCUCACGUUCUGUUGUCAAACAGCUUUUCCCAGCAGCACCUUCCGCAAAAGUUCUAAAUGCACUGCAGACAGCCGUCAGAACUGAGCGUGAAG